CCUAUCUUUAGGUCCAGACUGUCUUCCCACCUCUGCUCAGAUAGGUAGCUUCCUGCCGGGAUGGGACAUUGCUCCGCCCUGGAAUUUUUCUGCCUGGGGGUGUGUUUUUAGAGUCAAGUUCAGCAUUAAGAAUCUGCAGUUACCAAUAUUCCUGAGGACCCAGACCUGGACUACACAGUCUCCAGUGAGAAGCAGGGAGGGAAGCCAGGAGGGGCGGAGACGACUGCCAGAAGCCCCUGCCCAACUCUGCGGCCAUCCCUGGCAUCCUCUUGUGUAGCCACGGCCUCUCCUCUCAGCGUUAGAGAGACCUGCUGGAAAAUACUCAUGUUGGAGACACCAACACAGGCCAGGCUCCAGCACAGGGCUCCAGCAAUGAGAGGGAGAACUCCUGAGAAGUGGUCCCAGUGCAAAGGCCAAUAUCACCACCUUCCCACCACACACAAAAAGAGACCCCCUUUGUGUGCAAGUACCUGUCCAUGAGGUGCUGGUGCUUAAGAAAUGAGGAUGGCCUUCUAAAGGGAGACGGAAACAAACUGGUAAUCCACAUCACGAGUACUGCUCAGCCAUCAGAAGAGGCAGAGGACAGGUACUAGCCGCAAACCGAACGACUCCCCAGGGAGCCAUGCUGAAUGAAAAAGGCGAUCUCCAAAAGUUUCAUACUGUGUGGUUCCACUUAUCCAACAGUCUUGCAAAAGACAGAAUUCUAGAAAUGAAGAUGAGAUUAGUCAGUCGAGGCUAAAGGAGGGGCGGAGGUGGGGGGGCGAUGGGUGUGGCUAUAAAAGAGCAACAGUAGGGACCCUCGUAGGAUUGGAAGUGUCUGUGACCCAGCUAGAGCAAUGUCAGUGUCCUGGCAGGGAUACUGAAGAGGCAGAAAAGAAGCCUCAUUUGCUCCAAGAAAAUACAGUUAGCGGACUAUGACCUCAAAGCAGAGACCUGGCCGGUUGUGUGUUAAAUCUGUGUGUGUGUUUGCAUUUAUAGCACUUAGAUGUUUAAUUUAUUCGGGGCACCUGGGUGGCGCAGUGGGCUAAGCGUCUGACUCCUGGUCGAGCUCAGGUUGUGAUCUCCGGGUCGCGAGAUCAAGCCCUGUGUUGGGUUCCACGUUCAGGGCGGAGCCUAAGACUUUCUCUGCCCCUCCCCCCUGCUGGUUAGCUCUCUAAUAAAUAAACAAAUCUUUAAAAAUAAAUAAGCUCACUUGGGGACACCUGGAUGGCUCAGUCAGUGAAGCAUCAGACUCUUAAUUUUGGCUCAGGUCAUGAUCUCAGAGUUGUGAAUUAGAGUCUGCUUAAGAUUCUGUGUGCCUCUCCCUCUGCCCCUCCCCUCUCUAGUCUCUCUCCCUUGCAAAAAAAAAAAAAAAAAAAAAAAAAAAGUCCCCUGAGCUAGCUCUGUAGUAUUUUGUACACCUCUAAAAUAGAAGGUUUAACUUUAAAAAAAAAAAGAGAGAGAGAGAAUGCAAUGCCCUGCUGCCUGUCUAGAGUCUCGGACCCCACCUCACGUGCCCAGGUCACUUCCGUAUAUCACAGUUGGGGGGGGAUGGAGCUCAGCCUGAGAGGAUAAGCAGGGACCCCCCCUCCCCCGCAGCCACAGUGGAGCUGAGCCUUCAAGAGUUAGCAGGCCAGAGGUGAGAGGAAGGACAUCAGAGGCAGGCAGGACGGCACGAGCAAGUGGGAUGCUUGGGUCUUCCCUUCCCUGAGCCAGCCCUGGGUGGAAAGAUCUCAAGCCAUUCUGCGGCAAAAAUGCAAACGCCAGAUACUUCCUAACUUGUAUGGAAACGUCUUAAAUGAUGGACAAAACCC